GGGGGGAGGCCGGAUCCUGGGCUGUGUCCUGGUGCCCAGUGCUCCCGGGCCUGCGCUGUUAGAUUCAGCUCCCAGCGGGGCAGCCUCCU
rnacentral:pre_miRNA from 1 species